UACGUAGGCGGAAAAUUAAGUCAGUGGUGAAAUCCUGCAGCUUAACUGUAGAACUGUCAUUGAUACUGGUUUUCUUGAAUACAGUUGAGGUAGGCGGAAUGUGUAAUGUAGCAGUGAAAUGCUUAGAUAUUACACAGAACACCGAUUGCGAAGGCAGCUUACUAAACUGUUAUUGACGCUGAGGUACGAAAGCGUGGGGAGCGAACAGGAUUAGAUACCCUGGUAGUCC
rnacentral:rRNA from 1 species